rnacentral:rRNA from 1 species
AUUGAACGCUGGCGGCAUGCUUUACACAUGAAGUCGAACGGUAACAGGCCUUCGGGUGCUGACGAGUGGCGAACGGGUGAGUAAUGCAUCGGAACGUGCCCAGAGGUGGGGGAUAACGCAGCGAAAGCUGUGCUAAUACCGCAUGUGAUCUGAGGAUGAAAGCGGGGGACCAAGCAGCAAUGUUUGGCCUCGCGCCUCUGGAGCGGCCGAUGUCAGAUUAGGUAGUUGGUGGGGUAAAGGCCUACCAAGCCGACGAUCUGUAGCUGGUCUGAGAGGACGACCAGCCACACUGGGACUGAGACACGGCCCAGACUCCUACGGGAGGCAGCAGUGGGGAAUUUUGGACAAUGGGCGCAAGCCUGAUCCAGCAAUGCCGCGUGCGGGAAGAAGGCCUUCGGGUUGUAAACCGCUUUUGUACGGAACGAAAAGGCUCUGGCUAAUACCUGGGGCUGAUGACGGUACCGUAAGAAUAAGCACCGGCUAACUACGUG